rnacentral:rRNA from 1 species
CACUCCUACGGGAGGCAGCAGUGAGGAAUAUUGGACAAUGGGUGGAAGCCUGAUCCAGCCAUCCCGCGUGCAGGAAGACGGCCCUAUGGGUUGUAAACUGCUUUUAUCUGGGGAUAAACCUACUUACGUGUAAGUAGCUGAAGGUACCAGAAGAAUAAGCACCGGCUAACUCCGUGCCAGCAGCCGCGGUAAUACGGAGGGUGCAAGCGUUAUCCGGAUUUAUUGGGUUUAAAGGGUCCGUAGGCGGACUGAUAAGUCAGUGGUGAAAUCCGACAGCUUAACUGUCGAACUGCCAUUGAUACUGUUAGUCUUGAGUAAGGUUGAAGUGGCUGGAAUAAGUAGUGUAGCGGUGAAAUGCAUAGAUAUUACUUAGAACACCAAUUGCGAAGGCAGGUCACUAAGUCUUAACUGACGCUGAUGGACGAAAGCGUGGGGAGCGAACAGGAUUAGAAACCCCUGUAGUCCCAU